GAUGAACGCUGGCGGCGUGCUUAACACAUGCAAGUCGAACGAUGAACCUCACUUGUGGGGGGAUUAGUGGCGAACGGGUGAGUAACACGUGAGUAACCUGCCCUUGACUCUGGGAUAAGCCUGGGAAACCGGGUCUAAUACUGGAUACGACCUUCUGGCGCAUGCCAUGUUGGUGGAAAGCUUUUGUGGUUUUGGAUGGACUCGCGGCCUAUCAGCUUGUUGGUGGGGUAAUGGCCUACCAAGGCGACGACGGGUAGCCGGCCUGAGAGAGUGACCGGCCACACUGGGACUGAGACACGGCCCAGACUCCUACGGGAGGCAGCAGUGGGGAAUAUUGCACAAUGGGCGCAGGCCUGAUGCAGCGACGCCGCGUGAGGGAUGAAGGCCUUCGGGUUGUAAACCUCUUUCAGUAGGGAAGAAGCCGGCUUUUGGGUUGGUGACGGUACCUGCAGAAGAAGCGCCGGCUAACUACGUG
rnacentral:rRNA from 1 species